GUGGGGAAUCUUCCGCAAUGGACGAAAGUCUGACGGAGCAACGCCGCGUGAGUGAAGAAGGUUUUCGGAUCGUAAAGCUCUUUCGUUAGGGACGAACGUGCUCUUUGUGAAUAAUGAGGAGUAAUGACGGUACCUAAAUAAGAAGCCACGGCUAACUACGUGCCAGCAGCCGCGGUAAUACGUAGGUGGCAAGCGUUGUCCGGAAUUAUUGGGCGUAAAGCGCGCGCAGGCGGGAUAUCAAGUCUGUCUUAAAGGUGCGAGGCUCAAGCUGGUGAGGGGCCAGAAACUGGUAUUCUUGAGUGUCGGAGAGGAAAGUGGAAUUCCAAGUGUAGCGGUGAAAUGCGUAGAGAUGUGGAAGAACACCAGUGGCGAAGGCGACUUUCUGGACGAUGUCUGACGCUGAGGCGCGAAAGCUAGGGGAGCGAACGGGAUUAGAUACCCCAGUAGUCC
rnacentral:rRNA from 1 species